GAAGGCACAAGCUAAUAGCUUAAUAAUAUCAUACAAUAAUUUCAUUACAACCAUGAUAAUAACUCCAAAAUUCAUGGGUAUUAAUUUUUUUUUUUUAAAUUUCUAUGACAGAAUGUACAAAACAAACUGUAUAGAUGCUUUCAACAAAAGCACUGUGUAAGUGAGCAUUAUUUGCUCAUUUUUUUAGCUUAUAUUUCUCACAUCUCCAUUGUCCAUUGAAUCAUCUUUUUUCUUGGUGCGGUUCAAUUUUUGCCACUUAGCCUGUAACUGGGGUCUCAGCUACAAAGCAUGAUUUUAUGUUAACCAGAGCGAUAAAACAAAUUGCAGAAGUGCAUCUGCAACACAACUCUAGGAUCCUAAACCACAAAAAGUUGAAUCAGAUCCGUGCAGAAACUUUUACCGAUUUCCCCACAUCGCUGUUAGUUUUAUCUUCAUUUACCUAACUCGGAGGACACUGACAACAAGAUUCAAGGUCUUCUCUACCAUAUAUAUAUAUAUAGACACAUGCCCUUUUUGCAGCAGGUAUGAGCUUCCACGAAGCAGAGUCUAAAACUUACCGUCUGAAUAUACUUUAGUUGCUUCAGAAUUUGAUCUGUGUCCAGCAACUGCAGCAGAUGUGUAAAAUAACAUUUGGUCAAAAAGAAAAAAAAAAUGGAGCUUAUAAAACCAGUAAAGAUAAAAUAGUAUUCAAGGUUGUUAAAGAAAUACAUGAUCUCAUCAAGGAAAUUGGCUAACAAUGGCAACCAAAAAUGAAAAUUUCACUAAACUAGAUAAAUGCCAAGGCGAUGAAUUUAUCCACUUUCAAAUGAAGGUCGGUGAUCAAUGCAGUAACAAAUUCAUAAAUGAAGUUCGACAAUUUUAUGGAAGAAUGAGAAGCAGCUCUAACACCACACCAUGACAAAGACAGCAAGUGUGCAUGAAAGUCCAUUACUUGAACACAGAUAUCACACAAGGUUCAGAAAUGCCAAACUGAAUUGCCAAAAGUCUGAAUCUUCAAUCUCAACUCUUAUCUGUAGUUGUAUGAAAAAAGUAGGUCAUAAGCACCAAUCAUUUUAUUGAAGUUCAGCGAAUGAGACAGAAGAGAAAGAAAGCCUAAAUCCCAUAAGUAAUUCAACUGAUUUCAAUGGCUGCUUCAUGAGACCCAUUUUGUAACAAAUUCUACAUGAAACCAAAGGAUAGAUUUAUUCAACAGCUGACUUCUAAAACUCAAUGAAUUAUGAUAAGUAUGCGUAAGAGAAAAGCGUAUGAGAAUUGGUUUGUACUACAAAACAAAGCAGGGAACUUGCAGAAACAAAA
rnacentral:misc_RNA from 1 species